rnacentral:rRNA from 1 species
AUUGAACGCUGGCGGCAGGCUUAACACAUGCAAGUCGAACGGUAACAGAAAGAAAGCUUGCUUUCUUUGCUGACGAGUGGCGGACGGGUGAGUAAUGCUUGGGAAUCUGCCUUAUGGAGGGGGAUAACUACGGGAAACUGUAGCUAAUACCGCGUAAUAUCUUCGGAUUAAAGUGUGGGAUCUUCGGACCAUAUGCCAUAAGAUGAGCCCAAGUGAGAUUAGGUAGUUGGUGAGGUAAAGGCUCACCAAGCUGACGAUCUCUAGCUGGUUUGAGAGGAUGACCAGCCACACUGGAACUGAGACACGGUCCAGACUCCUACGGGAGGCAGCAGUGGGGAAUAUUGCACAAUGGGCGCAAGCCUGAUGCAGCCAUGCCGCGUGAAUGAAGAAGGCUUUCGGGUUGUAAAGUUCUUUCAGCGAUGAGGAAGGUUGUAUAUCUAAUAGGUAUGCAAAUUGACGUUAGUCGCAGAAGAAGCACCGGCUAACUCCGUGCCAGCAGCCGCGGUAAUACGGAGGGUGCGAGCGUUAAUCGGAAUAACUGGGCGUAAAGGGCACGCAGGCGGUUGUCUAAGUCAGAUGUGAAAGCCCCGAGCUUAACUUGGGAAUUGCAUUUGAGACUGGGCGACUAGAGUCCUCUAGGGAGGGGUAGAAUUCCACGUGUAGCGGUGAAAUGCGUAGAGAUGUGGAGGAAUACCGAAGGCGAAGGCAGCCCCUUGGAGAGAGACUGACGCUGAGGUGCGAAAGCGUGGGUAGCAAACAGG